rnacentral:rRNA from 1 species
CCUACGGGAGGCAGCAGUGAGGAAUAUUGGUCAAUGGACGCAAGUCUGAACCAGCCAUGCCGCGUGCAGGAAGACGGCUCUAUGAGUUGUAAACUGCUUUUGUACGAGGGUAAACGCAGAUACGCGUAUCUGUCUGAAAGUAUCGUACGAAUAAGGAUCGGCUAACUCCGUGCCAGCAGCCGCGGUAAUACGGAGGAUUCAAGCGUUAUCCGGAUUUAUUGGGUUUAAAGGGUGCGUAGGCGGUCGGAUAAGUUACAGGUGAAAUCCCGAGGCUCAACUUCGGAAGUGCCUCUGAUACGGUUCGUCUAGAGAGUAGAUGCGGUAGGCGGAAUGUAUGGUGUAGCGGUGAAAUGCUUAGAGAUCAUACAGAACACCGAUUGCGAAGGCAGCUUACCAAGCUACUUCUGACGUUGAGGCACGAAAGCGUGGGGAGCAAACAGGAUUAGAUACCCCGGUAGUC